ACUCCUACGGGAGGCAGCAGUGGGGAAUAUUGGACAAUGGGCGAAAGCCUGAUCCAGCAAUGCCGCGUGAGUGAUGAAGGCCUUAGGGUUGUAAAGCUCUUUUACCAGGGAUGAUAAUUGACAGUACCUGGAGAAUAAGCUCCGGCUAACUCCGUGCCAGCAGCCGCGGUAAUAC
rnacentral:rRNA from 1 species